ensembl:lncRNA
GUCCCAUAGCUGGUCCCCGCCGCAGGGCAGGGACCUGGAUCGGAUCUGCAACGGGACUUUCGGUAUGCUGGGCUAGGGUGCGGCUAGACAGCGCUCAGCCGGGCUACAGGCGGGAGCACCGCCCGGAGUAGAGGCGAGAAGGCCGCUUGGGGGCUUCCUCACAGAGCAGACCCAGGGCCCCGCACACCUGGGCAGAAGGGCCGGAGUCUGGGGGCGUCAGACAGAUGCUCACAGGGGCGUGCUCCAGGGCUGGGCUCCAGCCUGCGCAGUCCGGGGGAUGACACUAGGGGGCAGCGAGGGGUAGCGGGAACCACGUCCUGGAGGGAAGACCCUCCGACCUGCCAGAUGAAGUGCGGGCGCGCUGGGCGCAGCGGCCGGGGUAUCACGGAGGGAGGCAGCCUCCCGCGGGCUGAGGGGGCGAGGAGGGGCCAGCGGGCCCGCAUCCUAGGCUACGCAAGCGGCCGCUUGCCGCUCCCGCGCCAGCAGAGGUCCCGGGUCCUCCAUCUGCUUCCAAGCACAGGCGCAGCGGCUCCGCGUUGACCCACAUUCCCUCCAGCCGCGGAGCCGGGGGCGGGGAAUCCACCGGCCGCGGAGCAGGUCUAAGGGGUGCAGGGUACAGGCUGUACCACCCUCCUCGUGUCUUGACCCCCGUCCCCCGCCUGGGGUCAGCCAGCAGCUGUCCCGAACAGUUCCUACACCGCUCCUCCCACUAAGUUGGGACCCUGGACCUUCAAGAAGGCUGUGCGUUUUCCGAUGAGAUCACUGUCCACUCACUGACUGUGUCCACUGGGGGGACUUGAGCCCUGGGACCUCAUGGAUCGAAGAGCGGGACAGAAAGAUCCUGGUAAGGAAUACUGAACUAAUAAGCCACCACCAACCGGAAGAGUUCGGGAAAGGUCAAAAGGAGACACCGCGAGUCCGUCCACUUCCCAGAAUCCCUCUGGCUAGCAUCCAUCUUGGCUGAAUGAUGCGUGUGCCACCAGGAAAGACUCUGAAUUACAACAAUUGGUCAAAGACAACCCGGAAACUAAUCCCAUCACCAUAAAACCCGAGACUGUGAGUCACAUGGCAGAGCAGUUCUCCUGAGUUCCCUUACCCUACUGCUCUCAAUACAAUCUCUUGCUAUGUCAGCACAUGUGUCUCCUUGGACAAUUCAUUUCCGAGUGUUAGACAAGAGCCCAGUUUCGGGCCCUGGAAGGGGUCCCCCUUCCUGCAACAUAUUGACCCCCUUUCUCCCUCCUCACUCCCACUUCCAAGGUAGCCACUGUUCAUGGCCAAGGAGGUACAGCUGGAUCAAUCGGCAUUCAUGUGUUUUAAUGUGCUUGGUGUAGAAAUGAGAUCAGGAUAGUAUAAGACCUACUGGGCAGUGACUGGUCCCCAAAAGCCAAGCAGCUCUGAGCGUUUUGCAUGCAGUAACUCAUUUGUUCCUGUAGACUUAAAAAAUAGUGACAACAUAAAGUUUGACAGUUAUGUUUUAUUUGGUGGGAAUUUUUAGGACUGACUUCCCUGGUGGACUUCCCUGGUGGCUCAGACGGUAAAGCGUCUGUCUACAAUGCGGGAGACCUGGGUUCGAUCCCUGGGUUGGGAAGAUUCCCUGGAGAAGGAAAUGGCAACCCACUCCAGUACCCUUGCCUAGAAAAUCCCAUGGAUGGAGGAGCCUGGUG